rfam:Erinaceus europaeus cont1.419561, whole genome shotgun sequence.
GGGAAACGAGCAGGGGGCUGGGGCAGUGAGCCAACCCAAGCCCUAGGAAGCAGAGGCUCG